rnacentral:misc_RNA from 1 species
GAUGAAGAACGCAGCGAAAUGCGAUAAGUAGUGUGAAUUGCAGAAUUCAGUGAAUCAUCGAAUCUUUGAACGCACAUUGCGCCCCUUGGUAUCCCGAGGGGCAUGCCUGUUCGAGCGUCAUUAUCACCCCUCAAGCCCUGGCUUGGUGUUGGACUUUAGUUAUAGCUUUGCCUAUCAACUGGUCUCAAAGAUAGUGACGGCGCCCCAGAGGGAACCGGGUACGAGGAGCUUUUUACUAAGCAUGUAUCUGGGACGACUCUGGGCGACGGUCUUGUUAUACUUUUUACCUAAGUGUUGACCUCGGAUCAGGUAGGAAUACCCGCUGAACUUAAGCAUAUCAAUAAGCGGAGGA